CUCUUAUCAUUAAUACAUAGCCUCCAUUAUUUUUUUCUGACUUGUAAUCUUCCCUCACUUCACGCGUACACACUCUCUUGUUGGUUUCUCUAUUCAAAAUCCUGGAGUGACCAUGGAUGCUUCUACACUGCGUCAAUCCAAACGACUUAAGAAGUCCACGCUGGUGUUCAAGGUGGCAGCCUGAUGCUGA